UACGAAGGGGACUAGCGUUGUUCGGAAUCACUGGGCGUAAAGCGCACGUAGGCGGAUUCGUAAGUUAGGGGUGAAAUCCCGGGGCUCAACCUCGGAACUGCCUUUGAUACUGCGGGUCUCGAGUCCGAUAGAGGUGGGUGGAAUUCCUAGUGUAGAGGUGAAAUUCGUAGAUAUUCGCAAGAACACCAGUGGCGAAGGCGGCUCACUGGCCCGGUACUGACGCUGAGGUGCGAAAGCGUGGGGAGCAAACAGG
rnacentral:rRNA from 1 species